CGAGGGCAGGAAGUGCUCCGCCCCCACACACACCCACAAAAAGAUUCCAUAACACUAACACGCACUUGCCGUGCACCUUCUUUUUUUUUUUCAGUUCGCGUAAUGUUGUUUCGUUGCUGCAGACCGCAGAGCGAGGAGGGCGAGUGGAAGGACAUCUAUGGCGACCCGGUGCGUCCACGCCGAAGUGGUUACGAGUACCCCCUGGAUGCACUGCAGAUCAGCGCUUGGGCCGCGAUUGCCGUGCUGGCAGCGCUGCACUUUAUGGUACAGAUCCCCUUCUUCGACGGCGCACGCUUUGCCGUCGUGCUCGUCAUCUCAUCCGUACUCAUGACCUCAGUCGUCUUCACGAAGGUGGCGCUGGAGUUGUACCCUCAGCAGGACCCCGCUGUCUUCCGCACAGACCUCCCUCGCCUCAACCAGGAUGAGCUCGUGCCAGAGUCGGCGGAGCCCAGUACGGAGCCGUGUGUCUUCUGUCGGCGAUUUGUACAGGUAGGCUGCAAGCACUGCAGCGUGUGCGACAAGUGCGUCCCAGGUUUCGAUCAUCACUGUCGCUGGCUGAACAGCUGCGUCGGCGCCAAGAACUACCGCCUCUUCGCAACUUUCAUGGGCGUCGCCUGGGCUGGGAUGGCUUGGGUGACGGCCUUAAGCCUUUAUACGAUUCAGCUGAUGCUGCGCGACGUUGACGCCUUCAAGCGCCACAUGCACACGCAAGCCUACCACAGCCCUAUUCGAGCCUUCCCCGCUCUCGUGGUCUUCAACUUUGUAUGCCUGCUCAUCGCUGUCGCCGGCAUCGGCUCCCUCGGUAAGCUCAUCUGCUUCCAUGUCUACCUCGACAUCACCCACCAGUCUACUUACGAGCACAUUGUCAAGAGGCGCGAGAAGAAGCGGGCGCUUGGCGAGUACCGCAGCCAGCACGGCGAGCCGGAGUCGAAGGGCUCGCUUGCCUGCUUCGAGCUGCGCAAGCGGCGCAACUUUAAGAGACACGGCGCCGAUCACGCUAAUGGGCCGGACAUGAACGAGGAGGACAACCGGGACGGGGAGGCUGAUUCCUCGGUGUCGCCGCAGCAGCCGACGCUUAAUGACGCUUCUGGCGCAAGCGCUGUGUGCGAGGAAGGUUCGCAGGAGUCGUCGGGGUCGAGGGCGGAGGACAUUAGAAGGCGAGCGGCGUACUCGUCGGCGGGGCGGCAGCAAUAUCUGCCAGUGCCGGAGCGUGGCGAAGGGCGAUCCGACGCCCCUGUCUCCGACGGCAUCUCCUACACAUUUGAGCCGGUGCAACAAAGCGAGUAGACGGAGGCGUCCCUCAUUGCAGCUGCCGCGGCUGCGGGCCCUGCCUCUAUCUCUUUACAUAUUUUUUUUUCCUUUUUCUUCCGAAUCGACGUACGUGCACGGUGCGAAUUUGUGCCGUGCUCCCGCUAGACGCAGUCCCUCUCGCGAUCAAGUAGGCGAGAUGUGGAGGAGGAUCCCAAUGCUGCUGAGUUCUGCCUGCUUCUCACUCUGUCUGAUGUAGCACACGAGGUAGGAUGACACACUACUGCUGAAAUCCGUGCGCUUAAGUGACUGGCUGACGAGAGCCGGUGCCGCUGAUGACGAUCGAUGUGUCUUGUGGUGGUUGCCGCUGUUUGGGUGUAUGCUUUCUUUUCUUCCUCCCGCUCCUUAUUGUUAAUCAACUUCGUGAUGUCGCUUCUUCCCUUCCGCGGUGUAGCGUCUUCCAUUCUUUUCCUUCUCCAUUGCUUUCGCUCUGUCUGUCUCUCUCUCUGUGUCCCGCCCCCGUACCCACUUCACUCCACCCUCUUGCUCUCUCUCAUGCUUCCCGAUUCUGCGGUGGUGGUGCCCGUGUGUGUGUGUGUGUUUCUGCGGAUGCGACAGGACCUCCCCCGACCUUCGAUUAGAUGGCGCGACUCUUGAAUUUCAGUAUCACUGCCACAUCAGCUAAAGUUUGUGUGAACCGAAAAAAAAAACGAAGGGAAAAGGGGCAUGCAGAGACCUUGCGCACCCUCUCAUCCCUCUUUCUUGCGCUUUCGGGCGGCGUUGGCCGUUGUGGUGU
rnacentral:misc_RNA from 1 species